AGGACGAACGCUGGCGGCGUGCUUAACACAUGCAAGUCGAGCGGUAAGGCCUUUCGGGGUACACGAGCGGCGAACGGGUGAGUAACACGUGGGUGAUCUGCCCUGCACUUCGGGAUAAGCCUGGGAAACUGGGUCUAAUACCGGAUAUGACCUCCUAUCGCAUGGUGGGUGGUGGAAAGAUUUAUCGGUGCAGGAUGGGCCCGCGGCCUAUCAGCUUGUUGGUGGGGUAAUGGCCUACCAAGGCGACGACGGGUAGCCGACCUGAGAGGGUGACCGGCCACACUGGGACUGAGACACGGCCCAGACUCCGUACGGGAGGCAGCAGUGGGGAAUAUUGCACAAUGGGCGAAAGCCUGAUGCAGCGACGCCGCGUGAGGGAUGACGGCCUUC
rnacentral:rRNA from 1 species